rnacentral:rRNA from 1 species
UUCGCAAUGCCCGAAAGGGUGAACGAGCGACGCCGCGUGCGGGAUGUAGGGUUUCGGCUUGUAAACCGCUUUUGCAAGGGAAAAACUUAAUGAUGGUACCUUGCGAAUAAGAGGUUACUAACUCUGUGCCAGCGGUAGCGGUAAUACAGAGACCUCAAGCGUUAUCCGGAUUUAUUGGGCGUAAAGCGCGGGUAGGCGGGUCGGCGCGUCGGCCGCUGAGAGCCCUCGGCUCAACCGGGGAAGGGGCGUCGAUACGGCCGGCCUGGAGGGGGGUAGGGGGCGUCGGAACUUCCGGUGGAGCGGUGAAAUGCGUUGAGAUCGGAAGGAACGCCCGUGGCGAAAGCGGACGCCUGGACCUUGCCUGACGCUGAGACGCGAAAGCCAGGGGAGCGAACGGGAUUAGAUACCCCGGUAGUCCUGGCCGUAAACCAUGGGCACUAAGUAGAGGGGUUUU